AACGUAGGGGGCAAGCGUUAUCCGGAAUUACUGGGUGUAAAGGGUGAGUAGCCGGCUUGUCAAGUCAUGGGUGAAAUUCCACGGCUCAACCGUGGAACUGCCCAAGAAACUGAUGAGCUAGAGUACAGGAGAGGUCAGUGGAACUCCUUGUGUAGCGGUGAAAUGCGUAGAUAUAAGGAAGAACACCAGUGGCGAAGGCGACUGACUGGACUGAAACUGACGGUGAGUCACGAAAGCGUGGGGAGCGAACAGG
rnacentral:rRNA from 1 species